GAUGAACGCUGGCGGCGUGCCUAAUACAUGCAAGUCGAGCGAACAGACGAGGAGCUUGCUCCUCUGACGUUAGCGGCGGACGGGUGAGUAACACGUGGAUAACCUACCUAUAAGACUGGGAUAACUUCGGGAAACCGGAGCUAAUACCGGAUAAUAUAUUGAACCGCAUGGUUCAAUAGUGAAAGACGGUUUUGCUGUCACUUAUAGAUGGAUCCGCGCCGCAUUAGCUAGUUGGUAAGGUAACGGCUUACCAAGGCAACGAUGCGUAGCCGACCUGAGAGGGUGAUCGGCCACACUGGAACUGAGACUCGGUCCAGACUCCUACGGGAGGCAGCAGUAGGGAAUCUUCCGCAAUUGGCGAAAGCCUGACGGAGCAACGCCGCGUGAGUGAUGAAGGUCUUCGGAUCGUAAAACUCUGUUAUUAGGGAAGAACAAAUGUGUAAGUAACUAUGCACGUCUUGACGGUACCUAAUCAGAAAGCCACGGCUAACUACGUG
rnacentral:rRNA from 1 species